GGCUCUGUAGUGAAAUUCAUGUUGGGUUGCAAGCCCAUCGAUGUACUUUAAAUAUGUACCAGGGUCU
rnacentral:tRNA from 1 species